rnacentral:rRNA from 1 species
AACGAACGCUGGCGGCAGGCUUAACACAUGCAAGUCGAACGCCCCGCCAGGGGAGUGGCCGCCGGGUGAGUAACACGUGGGAACAUGCCCAAAGGUACGGAAUAUUCUCGGGAAACUGAGAGCAAUACCGUAUGUGCCCGAAAGGGGAAAGAUUUAUCGCCUUUGGAUUGGCCCGCGUCGGAUUAGCUAGUUGGUGGGGUAAAAGCCUACCAAGGCGACGAUCCGUAGCUGGUCUGAGAGGACGACCAGCCACACUGGGACUGAGACACGGCCCAGACUCCUACGGGAGGCAGCAGUGGGGAAUCUUGGACAAUGGGCGCAAGCCUGAUCCAGCCAUGCCGCGUGGAUGAUGAAGGCCCUAGGGUUGUAAAAUCCUUUCGUUGGGGACGAUAAUGACGGUACCCAAAGAAGAAGCGCCGGCUAACUUCGUG